CGGACAAUCUGUGUCCGCUGGGAUGUGGCCCUAACGGGGCUGAACCGUAAA
rnacentral:ncRNA from 1 species